rnacentral:ribozyme from 1 species
UUUUUUUUUUUUUUUUUUUUUUUUUCCAAAAAAAAAUAAAUAACAAAUGACUCACAUUGGUGGCU